rnacentral:rRNA from 1 species
UACGUAGGGUGCGAGCGUUGUCCGGAAUUAUUGGGCGUAAAGAGCUCGUAGGUGGCGUGUCGAGUCUGCCGUGAAAGCCCAUGGCUUAACUGUGGGUCUGCGGUGGAUACGGGCAGGCUGGAGGCUGGUAGGGGCAAGCGGAAUUCCUGGUGUAGCGGUGAAAUGCGCAGAUAUCAGGAGGAACACCGGUGGCGAAGGCGGCUUGCUGGGCCAGUUCUGACGCUGAGGAGCGAAAGCGUGGGGAGCGAACAGG